rnacentral:rRNA from 1 species
GAUGAACGCUGGCGGCGUGCCUAAUACAUGCAAGUCGAGCGAACAGAUGAGGAGCUUGCUCCUCUGACGUUAGCGGCGGACGGGUGAGUAACACGUGGAUAACCUACCUAUAAGACUGGGAUAACUUCGGGAAACCGGAGCUAAUACCGGAUAAUAUAUUUAACCGCAUGGUUCAAUAGUGAAAGACGGUUUUGCUGUCACUUAUAGAUGGAUCCGCGCCGCAUUAGCUAGUUGGUAAGGUAACGGCUUACCAAGGCAACGAUGGGUAGCCGACCUGAGAGGGUGAUCGGCCACACUGGAACUGAGACACGGUCCAGACUCCUACGGGAGGCAGCAGUAGGGAAUCUUCCGCAAUGGGCGAAAGCCUGACGGAGCAACGCCGCGUGAGUGAUGAAGGUCUUCGGAUCGUAAAACUCUGUUAUUAGGGAAGAACAAAUGUGUAAGUAACUAUGCACGUCUUGACGGUACCUAAUCAGAAAGCCACGGCUAACUACGUG